GACGAACCGUGCGAACGUUGUUCGGAAUCACUGGGCUUAAAGGGCGCGUAGGCGGGCUGGAAAGUCCGGGGUGAAAUCCCCCCGCUCAACGGGGGAACGGCCCCGGAUACUGCCGGCCUGGAGGCGGGUAGGGGCGUGCGGAACUGUGGGUGGAGCGGUGAAAUGCGUUGAGAUCCACAGGAACUCCGGUGGCGAAGGCGGCACGCUGGACCCGGUCUGACGCUGAGGCGCGAAAGCCAGGGGAGCGAACGGG
rnacentral:rRNA from 1 species